AUUGAACGCUGGCGGCAGGCCUAACACAUGCAAGUCGAGCGGAUGAAGGGAGCUUGCUCCUGGAUUCAGCGGCGGACGGGUGAGUAAUGCCUAGGAAUCUGCCUGGUAGUGGGGGAUAACGUCCGGAAACGGGCGCUAAUACCGCAUACGUCCUGAGGGAGAAAGUGGGGGAUCUUCGGACCUCACGCUAUCAGAUGAGCCUAGGUCGGAUUAGCUAGUUGGUGGGGUAAAGGCCUACCAAGGCGACGAUCCGUAACUGGUCUGAGAGGAUGAUCAGUCACACUGGAACUGAGACACGGUCCAGACUCCUACGGGAGGCAGCAGUGGGGAAUAUUGGACAAUGGGCGAAAGCCUGAUCCAGCCAUGCCGCGUGUGUGAAGAAGGUCUUCGGAUUGUAAAGCACUUUAAGUUGGGAGGAAGGGCAGUAAGUUAAUACCUUGCUGUUUUGACGUACCAACAGAAUAAGCUCU
rnacentral:rRNA from 1 species